rnacentral:lncRNA from 1 species
GUCUCAUAUAUACACCUUGUGCACUUCUGGUGGUGGUCUCUGUUUCCUCUCAGCCUCGCUCCCAGCCAUUCACUUCUGGAGGAGUGUCUCCCUAACCAUGCAUGUGCACUUCUGACAAAAUUCGGAUUCAGAGACAGGGGCAGGCAGAUACGAUACUUGCUGGUCUUGUUAUGUACUCCUAGCUGAAAAGCAAGGAAGCAGCAGCAGCAGUGAGAUUCAGUCAUUCAGUGGAAGGAUCAGCUCGGCCUUGAGAGAGAGAGAGGGAGAGAGAGAGAGAGAGAGAGAGAGAGAGAGAGCAACUAUAAAACAAGCGGCAUUACCACUCUUGCAUAUACCAUAUGCGCUGCCCUUGAACCCUUGAACCUUGCUUCACACAGCUGUACGUUGCUCUAAUCGAAGGAUUAUCAUCGACCAGAGAGAGGAGAGCCGACCAUGGCGCGCCGCUCCUCCAACACUUGGUCUUCUUCUCCGGCGCUCCUAGUCGUCGUCCUUGCUGCCUUGCUCAUCUGCUGCCCCAUGCCAUGCUCGGCGGGCAUCCGAAGUAACAAUAACACCAGCGGUAUAAUUGCACUCGAUCGUGUGUUCUACAUGUAAACUAACUAUACGUACGUUUGGUGUUUGGCCGAUGCAGGUGGUGUGUACUACCGUUAUGGGCCUCCGUCGCCGCAGGGCGGCCGGCCGGUCCACGCGGGGUGCCCUUGGUGCGGCCCCGCCGCUCCUCAGCCGCCGACGCCGGUGGUGGCAACUGCGCAAGACCGAUCCGCGGCCGCGGAUCAGCGGGGGCGCGGACGCCGUCUGUUAUCUGCCCAGUGAAAAGAUGAGCCGACGCUCUACCUGCUGUGGCGCUGAGGAACUGAAGGAAUAAAGCUCGCCGUCAACUGUUAUCUAGCAUUGAAGCUAUGUGUAAUUUGUUAGCCGUUUUGGGCAUUAUCGUAUUUUCAUACGCAGCAAAGUUGCAUGUGUCGCUCAGCAAGAAGAUAGUCCAUGGCUCCAUGCCUUGCUAUGGAAGUUUUUAUAGCAUGUAUGAUGUUAUAGGUGACAUAAAUAAGGAUCUACUAUAAAAAUGAGGCCUGGAAAAAUAUAGUGGACACAAUGUAUCAUGUAAUCAAAUCUUAUCUUAUUUCUUACCUCUUUCUUAUCUUAUAGUCCGUAGUACUUGCUCCAUC